ensembl:lncRNA
CUUCCACCGUCAUAUCACUGGAGCAGCACCUCAUAAAGCAAACAGACAAACACUGCUGAACAGAGCUCUGAUAGAAGUCCCUCCUGACAACUUCACUCUUCAGGAAUUGGACUUGAUCCUUAUGGGUUCCAUCCAACUUGGGAUACUCUAUGAUUCACAGGAGGUCAAACUGAAAGAAAUGGUGUCUUGAAGCUACUUCAGUGCUGGGGCUGCUGGUAGAGCCUUGUCCCAAAAAGAGGACAGAAUGAUCUUUACAGGAAAGGGAAGAGUGAAACAAGUGCCUCUGCUCGACGUGGGAUUGCUGCCAACUAUGACAUCUCCCCUAGGAUCAACAACACAGAGACCAGGAAUAACCAACAGCUGGACUCAUUCAGGCCUUCCUUUCAGGAAAGAAAUUACACUGUGAUUAAUGAGCAAAGCAGAGGGCAGAAAGCGAGGCGUUGGGGGUGCUCCAGGGAAAGGCUGGGCUCCCAUGCCUGUCCCUAUGGCCAUUCCCCACCCAUGUUGGAGGUCCUCCAAAGUCGAGGUUGUUCCCCAUUGCUGUGGUGGUGGCACUGGGGACAGAGGAGGAACAGGGGUGUGGAUGGACACAGAUCCCCUCUCAGUGCAGGGGUCCCUGGGCAGGGAGCUAAAGCUCAGUGCCUACAGUGGUGUAGGGCAGGCAGUGCAGGCAAGAGCCCAUUUUCGCUGCAGAGCUGUAAUAAUGUGUUCCAGGGCUGUUUUCAUGUGGAACAAUCCUCUCUGAGCUAUAAUUACACUCAGUCGCCCCAGAAAAUCAGCAGAAACUCUAAUCCUUUCAGCUGUGUGAGUACAAUGCAAGCAGGCACGUGGCCAGUACACACUGCUGCUGCCAAUCCUGCUAGCCCACCACACUGACAGCACCAAGCCCCCAACCAUCUCCUUCUUUUUGGAGACCUCAGCAUGCACCCAUGCAAUCAUAGAAUCAUUGAAUCAUAGAGUCAUAGAAUCAAUAAGACUGGAAAAGACCUCUAAGAUCAUCUAGUCCAAUCCAUCACCACAAUGGCCACUAAACCAUGUCCCUCAGUGUCACACCUACAUGUUUCUUGAAAACCGAGGUCCCAUCAUUACAUACCAAGAGCACAACCAGGGUGAGGGGAGAUGGUGUUGGGCUGCGAUUGCCUGCAGGAGGCCCUGCAGGUUGGGGCCUGCAUGUAGCUGCAGCAUCCUGGAGCAGCGUGAGGCUUCCCCCAGUCACCAGAGAACCCCAGGUGGGGUGGGCAGGGCAAGAAGACCUUGCUGGCCCCAUGCCAGGGAGCAGGGCACUUGCUGAGGUGUCCCAAUAUCUCAUUUGUUCAUUUGCCACACCCGUGGGUGAGGAAAACGGUAUUGUUCCUGGUUAUUCUGAGAUCGAUGCUAACCAGCAUGGCGUGAGGGGCAGACAAAAGCAAUGAUGCACAAAGGAAAAAAAUUACCCAGGACUCAAUUCAGAAGGAUAGGGGUGGAGACCCCUCUGCUUUACCUGCUCGUGCUGGGACAAAACUGCAGAUGCCACCUUGAUGCUCAGUGAGAAGGUGCUGGGGCUGCCAUCUUUCUUACAGCUCCAGGGCACCCCGCAAACACCACUUGCCUUCCUGGUGGAUCUGCAUAGCUUCAGAAUCCACCUGCCCCUGGACAUCCUCUCAGAGGGCAGAAUUUACCCAUUUUCCCAGGAGCUACUUAAUGGGAGGAGAUUGCAGCUUAUGGUUGAG